AAUUGUCCACCGUGGGACUCGAUCCCACGACCACAAGGUUAAGAGCCUUGCGCUCUUACCAACUAAGCUGGACGGGCAAUUCAAAGACAAACAAUUAGGAGUUGAUGCGUUCAAAGACAUUGCUAGGCUUGCCACCCAUACAAACUUGGCAGCAUGCGGUUUCCAGCACUCAAAAUCCCGUGUCCGCUCUUUUCCAAGCCUGGUAUGUAGCCAUAGCGAUGAUAUUAAACUGCAACAUAAGUCUACUUUGAUGCCAAAUUCUUGCCGAGAGAGUUUUUAUGUUUUCGUAAAGAAUGUUGUUCGCUCCAUUAUGGUUGAGAAGGGUCAGGCUAGAUCAUCAUAAGUUCAUCACAACCUAGACAUAUGUUACAUGCAUAUCUAAAUGGGAUAUAUUGUUUAUCGUCUUACCACAAAAGCCGAUUCUGCUCU